GGAGGGGUGCCAGAGAGGCCUAUCGGCACUGCUUGGAAAGCAGCUGGGUUGUGAUGAGCAGCCACCAGGGUUCGAAUCCCUGUCCCUCCGCCA
rnacentral:tRNA from 1 species